AUGCAAGUCGAACGAGAGAAGAGAAGCUUGCUUUUCUGAUCUAGUGGCGGACGGGUGAGUAACACGUGAGCAAUCUGCCUUUCAGAGGGGGAUACCGAUUGGAAACGAUCGUUAAUACCGCAUAAUAUAAUUGAACCGCAUGAUUUGAUUAUCAAAGAUUUAUCGCUGAAAGAUGAGCUCGCGUCUGAUUAGCUAGUUGGUAAGGUAACGGCUUACCAAGGCGACGAUCAGUAGCCGGACUGAGAGGUUGAUCGGCCACAUUGGGACUGAGACACGGCCCAGACUCCUACGGGAGGCAGCAGUGGGGAAUAUUGCACAAUGGAGGAAACUCUGAUGCAGCGAUGCCGCGUGAGGGAAGAAGGUUUUAGGAUUGUAAACCUCUGUCUUCAGGGACGAAAAAUGACGGUACCUGAGGAGGAAGCUCCGGCUAACUACGUGCCAGCAGCCGCGGUAAUACGUAGGGAGCGAGCGUUGUCCGGAAUUACUGGGUGUAAAGGGAGCGUAGGCGGGAUCGCAAGUCAGAUGUGAAAACUAUGGGCUUAACCCAUAAACUGCAUUUGAAACUGUGGUUCUUGAGUGAAGUAGAGGUAAGCGGAAUUCCUAGUGUAGCGGUGAAAUGCGUAGGUAUUAGGAGGAACAUCAGUGGCGAAGGCGGCUUACUGGGCUUUAACUGACGCUGAGGCUCGAAAGCGUGGGGAGCAAACAGGAUUAGAUACCCUGGUAGUCCACGCCGUAAACGAUGAUUACUAGGUGUGGGGGGACUGACCCCUUCCGUGCCGCAGCAAACGCAAUAAGUAAUCCACCUGGGGAGUACGACCGCAAGGUUGAAACUCAAAGGAAUUGACGGGGGCCCGCACAAGCAGUGGAGUAUGUGGAUUAAUUCGAAGCAACGCGAA
rnacentral:rRNA from 1 species